GAUGAACGCUGGCGGCGUGCCUAAUACAUGCAAGUCGAGCGAACAGAUAAGGAGCUUGCUCCUUUGACGUUAGCGGCGGACGGGUGGGUAACACGUGGGUAACCUACUUCUAUUUCUGGGAUAACUUCGGGAAACCGGAGCUAAUAACGGCUAAUAUUUCGAACCGCAUGGUUCGAUAGUGAAAGAUGGUUUUGCUAUCACUUAUAGAUGGACCCGCGCCGUAUUAGCUAGUUGGUAAGGUAACGGCUUACCAAGGCGACGAUACGUAGCCGACCUGAGAGGGUGAUCGGCCACACUGGAACUGAGACACGGUCCAGACUCCUACGGGAGGCAGCAGUAGGGAAUCUUCCGCAAUGGGCGAAAGCCUGACGGAGCAACGCCGCGUGAGUGAUGAAGGUCUUCGGAUCGUAAAACUCUGUUAUUAGGGAAGAACAUACGUGUAAGUAACUGUGCACGUCUUGACGGUACCUAAUCAGAAAGCCACGGCUAACUACGUG
rnacentral:rRNA from 1 species